UUGAUUAAUUCAAUAAAUCAACAUAACACUGUCAAUUUGUAAUCUACAUAAGGUGACAUAUUCCCAAUCUAGUGAUACCAAGCUGCCACGUUGGUCGUCCAAUUUAUUUGAUUAGUGUACUCCUGAGUCCUGUUGUUUAGGUUUCACUUUAUUUGAUUAUUUACUAUUGCUUAUCAGAUGUAAGCUCGUGCUCAUGUUGAUCUUAAUUUAGUGCGCAUAAGGUUCUCAUUUUGUUUGUUUUUUUGUGUUUUAUGUUUAGCUCAAAGAGAUUCCUCUGCUG
rnacentral:misc_RNA from 1 species